rnacentral:lncRNA from 1 species
AGAGAGAAAAGUAGGAUAGUACAUUCUUGUCAAUGAUUUCCCCUUCUAUAUAAUAGGGGAUCCCUAAAUAAGGUACAUUUUUAUUUACAGUAGGAAUAUUAUUUGUAAAGUAGUCUAACCGCCUAGUACAGAAUAGUACAGUUCUAUUCCGGGAUUUGCACUGUGAUCUUGGGGACGUGGCAAAAAUCUUACUCAUUUUGUUACAAUUCCAUAACUGUAUUAUUUCGGGAUCAAGCAUACUCGGAUUCGGUAUUCCUCGUAUCCCUAUCUCCGAUCAUUGUGUGAUGUCUUCAAGCUCGAGUCUGGUCCAUCAGGCUCGAACUCGAAUAAAUCCUCGAACCUAUAAAUCGGAG